UACAGAGGGUGCGAGCGUUGUCCGGAAUCACUGGGCGUAAAGGGCGCGUAGGUGGCGAGCCAAGUCCAUGGUGAAAGCUCGAUGCUCAACAUCGAGUCGGCCACGGAUACUGGUGCGCUUGAGCACUGUAGAGGCUAAUGGAAUUCCGGGUGUAGCGGUGGAAUGCGUAGAGAUCCGGAAGAACACCGGUGGCGAAGGCAGCCCCUGGGCCAAUACUGACGCUCAGGCACGAAAGCGUGGGAGCAACGA
rnacentral:rRNA from 1 species